rnacentral:rRNA from 1 species
GACGAACGCUGGCGGCGUGCUUAACACAUGCAAGUCGAACGGAAAGGCCCUGCUUUUGUGGGGUGCUCGAGUGGCGAACGGGUGAGUAACACGUGAGUAACCUGCCCUUGACUUUGGGAUAACUUCAGGAAACUGGGGCUAAUACCGGAUCGGAGCUCCUGCUGCAUGGUGGGGGUUGGAAAUUUUCGGCGGGUGGGGAUGGACUCGCGGCUUACGAGCUUGUUGGUGGGGUAGUGGCUUACCCAGGCUUUGACGGGUAGCCGGCCUGUGAGGGUGAACGGGCACCUUGGGCCUGCGAUACGGCCCAGACUGCAACGGGGGGCAGCAGUGGGGAGUAUUGCACAAUGGGCGGAAGCCUGAUGCAGCAACGCCGCGUGCGGGAUGACGGCCUUCGGGUUGUAAACCGCUUUCGCCUGUGACGAAGCGUGAGUGACGGUAAUGGGUAAAGAAGCACCGGCUAACUACGUG